rnacentral:misc_RNA from 1 species
CAGGAAGAUCAGAACUAAUAGAGAACUUCAACCAUCUCUUAUUCUCGAUAAGCUUAAGACAAGGUUGCAUCACCAAACCAAUUGCAACGGCGGCAAGGCUUACAACCAUGACUUUGAAUGAAGACAAGGCCAAAACAACACAUAUGAGAAUGGUUGGAGGUAUACACAGUAGGAUGGCUCCAACAGUUCCCCCAUGUAUCUUGAACGGGCGUGGUGCAUGGGGAUACUUCAUCCUUAACAAUACAAAUGCUAUAAAUUCCAAGAUCAUUCCAAAGCAAUACAAGAAAUUUUCUGCUGCUACUAUCUCCUGAAAGCUCAACCAUGAAAGUAAAAGCACACCAGAAGCCGAGAAGAUAAUCCCAAGUAUUGGAGUUCCAUGACGCGAUCUCUUUGCGAAGAACUCAGGGAGCAUUCCCCUCUCAGCCAUACCAAGUAACUGAAAAGAGUCACUGCUCAUUUCAGCUACAAACAUACCCAUG